rnacentral:rRNA from 1 species
ACUAGCAGUAAGAGUUUGAUCAUGGCUCAGAUUGAACGCUGGCGGCAUGCCUUACACAUGCAAGUCGCGCGGCCGGGUAACCGGCAGCGGCGGACGGGUGAGUAUCGCGUAGGAAUGUAUCCUGAGGUGGGGGACAACCCUGGGAAACUGGGGCUAAUACCGCAUAUGGACUGAGGUUCAAAGCCGUGAGGCGCCUUGGGAGCAGCCUGCGUCCGAUUAGGUAGUUGGUGGGGUAAAGGCCUACCAAGCCUGCGAUCGGUAGCUGGUCUGAGAGGACGAUCAGCCACACUGGGACUGAGACACGGCCCAGACUCCUACGGGAGGCAGCAGUGGGGAAUAUUGGACAAUGGGCGCAAGCCUGAUCCAGCAAUGCCGCGUGGGUGAAGAAGGUCUUCGGAUUGUAAAGCCCUUUCGACAGGGACGAUGAUGACGGUACCUGUAGAAGAAGCCCCGGCUAACUUCGUGCCAGCCGCCGCGGUAAUUC